rnacentral:rRNA from 1 species
GACGAACGCUGGCGGCGUGCUUAAUACAUGCAAGUCGAACGAUGAAAGCUGGAGCUUGCUCCGGCUGGAUUAGUGGCGAACGGGUGAGUAACACGUGAGUAACCUGCCCCUCACUCUGGGAUAACCUCGGGAAACCGAAGCUAAUACCGGAUACGACCCUCGGAGGCAUCUCCAGGGGGUGGAAAGAAUUUCGGUGAGGGAUGGACUCGCGGCCUAUCAGGUAGUUGGUGAGGUAAUGGCUCACCAAGCCGACGACGGGUAGCCGGCCUGAGAGGGUGACCGGCCACACUGGGACCUGAGACACGGCCCAGACUCCUACGGGAGGCAGCAGUAGGGAAUAUUGCACAAUGGGCGCAAGCCUGAUGCAGCAACGCCGCGUGAGGGACGACGGCCUCGGUUGUAACGU